UUACCAGUACUAUAGAAGCUCAGGUUAUAAGAUUUUUACUUUAAUCAUUUAACCAGUCACAGAUAAAAGUAAUCUUUAAAAAAAAAAAAUCACACUGAUUAUUUACUAAAUCUUAUUUCCAAAAAAAAAAAAAAUGAAUCACUAAUUUUUUUAUUAUAAAUUUCUCAUUUUGAUUUACUAAGAAAGCAGUCCAAAAGAAUAUACUACAUAUACCUUCAUUGUUGAAUCUUUUAGAUAGAUUUGGUAAUUUUUGCCAAUUCCUCUUUUUUUCUUUCUUUCUUUUUUUUUUUUUUUUUUUUUGCAAGACUGAUUAAAAAGUAACCAUGAUUAGUCUUUUAGCUUUAUGUGACUGAUAUGUAUAAUUUUUACACUUUAUUUUAACUGAAUUGCAGUGAAGAAAUAAUACUUAUUACACUGUCUUUCUCCUGCCACCCAACUAUAAUUUUUCUUUCCUGUCCAGCUUUCUCUUUCAUGGCGUGUAGUUACACUUGGGUCAAAAAUAUUUUAAAGAUACUUUAGGCUGUGUUUUAUCCAUAAGUUAAGCAGUUGUUUUCAGUGUUAUUACCUUUCUGUUUCUUCCUUUAUCUAAGAUAGCUUUUAUAGAAGACUGUUUUUGAUAUUUCCUUCAUGUUGUGCUUUGGAUUCUCAGAACAUUGGACAGCCAAAAGGGAACUGGAGUAAAGAAGAGCCCUAUGUUGUGCGGACAGUAUCCGGUUAAAAGUGAGGGGAAGGAGCUGAAGAUAGUGGUACAGCCUGAAACCCAACACCGAGCCCGGUACCUGACAGAGGGCAGCCGAGGCUCUGUAAAAGACAGAACACAGCAAGGCUUUCCUACGGUGAAGGUAAUCAUUUUAUUUAGUAGUAUGUGAAGACUGGCCCAUGAGGUGACUUUGAGGUGAAGGUUUAUCCCCAGGAUCUGGUCAAUGGUGGGAGAAGAGAACUGGCUCUACAUGGUUAUCCUGACCACCACACAACCACACCAUGGCACACACAUGCCCCACAUACAUGUUUCUCAUGCAAAACCAUCAAAUACAUGUAAAAAUAAUACUUAUCUAUGUGAUGAAUUUCCUUCAAUUUUACUAAUUAUUUUAAGCUCAGGAAAAGCUUCCUGAAAUAGAAGGGUAGAAGUAUUAGUUAUAUAAUAAAAAAACAAAUGUCUAAUUGGGCCAUAAGCCAAGUAGUACUUAGAUAACAUUUGAAUUUUUUAUUUAUCUGGUUGAUUUUGUCUUUCUGAGAUUAUGUUUCACUAUAACUCAGGCUGACCAGGAACUCAAUAUGUUGUCCACGCCAGUCUUGAAUUCAAGGCAAGCCUCCUGUCUCCUGAGUGCUUGAAUUAUAGAUGUGAGCCAGCAUGCCUGGGUAAAUUUUGGUUUGAGAGAUGUGAGUAUGUUCUGAAAAGAAAAAAAAUAUCUGCAGGUCAUUAGUUAUCUUCCUCCUUUGUUUAAUAGUGAUAGUAGAUUCAUCCAAAAAUGCAUUAUUAAGAAGAAAUUUUAAAGUAAAUGCAAAAAAAUAGUAGAAAUUAUUAUGAACUUCACCAGGCAUGGUAGCACAUUCUUUUAACUCCAGCAUUUAGGAGGCAGAGACUGGCAGCUCUAAUAUAAAUUAGAGGCCAAUCAUAGUCUUCAUAGCAAGCAUAGAGAGUUCCAGGACAGACAGAACUAUAUGGUGAGCACUUGUCUGAAAACAUAAGAACAUGGAAAUAAGGGUUUUUUUUCCUCUUGGUUUUUGACAGUGUUUCUUGGUAUAGCUCUGGCUGUCCUGGAACUCACUCUGUGGACCAGGCUGGCCUCAAACUCAGAAAUUCACCUGCCUCUGCCUCCCAAGCACUGGGAUUAAAGGUGUGUGUCACUGCUGCUCAGCUCAGAAAAUAAGAUUCUUAAAAUUAUCAGAAUUACCUUUUCAGAACUCUGACUUAAAGUAAAAAUUUAUCACUUGGUACUUUUAUUAUAAAGAAUAUUAUUGUUUGAAAAUAGAAAAAAACCAAACAAACAUGAACUGCCAUUCAUUUCAUACUUAAAUGAAAUCAUGAUUGAAACUCGGGAUUGGGAAAUGUGUCUUUGAGCAUUUGUUCCUGUCUUACCACACUAAUCCAUCUGCAACCAAUCCCUCAAAUCCAGUAACAACCUCAAGAUAAGUACCAGGCAAGAGAGAAAUUCAGGUUUUGUUUUGUGUAUAUUUAGCUGGAUAUUUUCAUAGUUUAGUCAGUAUUUUUCAUCUGAUUACCUGCCUUUAUGUUGUGCUUGGUCUAAGUACUUACAUAUUUAUUUAUAUAUAUAUUAAUUAUUGAUUAAUUGCCUGACUGUGAUAGGGAAUGAAAAUGACUGCCCUCAACAGUUCAUUUGUUCAUUCACUCAGCAGACACUUAUUCCCUUUCAAGUGCUGAGACCGGUCCAGGUAUUGCCAACUAGUUCUGUAGUAACUACAUUCCAUUAGAACUUUACAUAUUCUCUGCUAAACUAUUACAUAAUCCAUUUGUAGAAGACAUCACAAUAGAUAUACACUUCCUUAUUUCUUUAAUUAUUUGCCUGAUUAUGAUAAUCUCUGCACUAUGCUAAUAUAAUGGAAUAGAAAAGAUUGACUUUUAUAAUUUUUUUGUAUCCUUUAUCAACAGCUUCAGUGUGUUUAUUGUAAGAUGCAUUUUCUAUUACAACUAUUAUUCUGAAUAUGAACUAUCAUUUAUUUAUGAGAGUUUUGUUAGAGGUGUAUAAUGAUCACAUAUCUUACUUUAAGCAAACACUUCUUAUCAUAGAUGAUGUUCUGGCCUAGGAUUUAAUGAUUCAGUCUUUGAACUCCAUUUUCCUGUCAUUUGUUUGGCCGCCUUUCAAAUACUUCCCUCAAACUGCUUAAGUAGUAAAAUUUAUCACAUAUAUUCUCAUUGAUGAUGAAGAUGUUGCCAUUAAUACAAUGCAGUGGUGGUAGCAGAUCCUGAAUAAUCUAUAUACUGUCUGGGCAAUUGUGUAUCCAUUCCCAACUUAUGCAAAUAGGUUAUUUGACAGUUUAGCAUUAGCACAUCUAAAUAAUUAAAAUGUAGUUAUUGUAGUACUAAUACAGUAGUUUUUUGUAAAGACCCAGUUUUUAUUUAAUUUUUGUUUUGAAGCUAGCCUUUAAUUGAGCCAUCUCUCCAGUGUUCCCCAUCCCUCACUUAUUUUUCAUUCUUUAUAGUUUUGGUUUUUGUUUUGGUUUGGUUUUUUGUUUUGUUUUUUUGAGGCAGGCCUCUAUAAAGUCAUGUAACUCACAGAGAUCCACCUACCUGCCUCUGCUGUGAUUCUGACUUCAGUUUUUCUUUAUAAGAAAAUGUUUGGGCUGGGUGUGUGGCUUGGGUGGAGUACUAGCCUAGCAUUUGUGAGCUCCUAGGUUCAGUCACAAAAAAAAAGAGAGGAAGGAAAAGGAAAGUUUUACCUAUUUUCCUUUAUGCUUAAAUUAUUUCUCCAUUCAGUUUUAAAUACAUUAUUUGAUUUUGAAUGUCUAGUUCAUAAUGAGUUUAUUUGAAAUGCUAACUAGUGUUUAUGAUGCAUGUUAUCUGUUUCCAGCUGGAAGGCCAUAAUGAACCAGUGGUGUUGCAGGUAUUUGUGGGCAAUGAUUCUGGUCGAGUAAAACCACAUGGAUUCUAUCAGGCCUGUAGAGUAACUGGGCGAAAUACAACUCCCUGCAAAGAAGUGGACAUUGAAGGUACCACUGUUAUAGAAGUUGGUCUUGAUCCUAGCAACAACAUGACACUGGCGUAAGUACUUUAAUAAAUUCCCCCUCCCUUUUUUUGUUUGUUUAAGAUUUAUUUAUUAUGUGUACAGCAUUCUGGCUGCAUACAUGGCUGCAGGUCAAAAGAGGGCACCAGCUCUCACUAUAGAUGGUUGUGAGCCACCAUGUGGUUGCUGGGAAUUGAACUCAGGACCUCUAGGAGGAGCAACCAGUGAGUGCUCUUAACCACUGAGCCAUCUCUCCAGCCUCCCCCAUCUCCCCCCCUUUUUUUUUUAAACAAAAUUUUGUAAGUUACUCUGAUUAGCCUAGAACCCUCUGUGUAGACCAGGCUGGCCUCAAAUUCACAGAGAUCUGCCACCUGAAUGCUAGGAUUAAAGAUGUGAUCCACUGUGCCUGGCAGCUUUUUAUGUUUUAUUUAUUUGUUAGUUUAUUGAGUUUUUGUUGUUUUGGGGGGAUUUUUUUUUUUUUGGUUUGUUUCUUUUUUUGUUUUGUUUUUUGUUUUAUAGAUAGGCUCUUUCUACAUUGUGCCCUGGCUGUCCUAGAACUAAUGUGUAGACCACUGGACCACCCUCUGCCUCCUGAGUCCUGGGAUUUAAAGUGUGCACCACCAUACCUGGCUCUUAGCAAAUUUUAAAAUAGAUUUAUUUUACUUAUGUGUAUGCUAUAUCCCUAUGUGAGUUUCUGUGCAAUAUGUGUGUGCAGUUGCCCACAGAAACAAGAGGAAGAUAUUGGAUCUCCUGGAACUAGAAUGACCAACCUACAUAGCUGCUAGGAACCCAACCAAGCAGCAAGUGCUCUUAACCUCUGAGCCAUCUCUCUUAGCUCCCAAGAAUUUUUUUUAUUAUAUUAUAUUCUUAUGAUAAUCAUGAAAAUACUGGGUUUCUCUUUGAGGCCCUGGCUAUCCUGGAACUGACUCUGUAGACCAGACUGGUCUCAAAUUUAUAGAGAUGCACCUGCCCCUGCCUUCUGAGUGCUGGGAUUAAAGGUUUGCACCACCACCACAGGAUGAUUUUCUUAGGACCUUAUUAAAAUGUUUUAAAUAGAACAAUCUGUUCUUACAGGACUAUAGAGAUGGCUCAGCCGUUAAAAGCUAGGAUCACUCCAAAAAGACAAAAGGGCUUCUUCCAGAAUGGUUUCAGACUGAAUUGCAUUCAAGUUUUGCUUUCCUAAAGAGUUCCCAAAGCAGGGAAAUAAAGGCCAAAGAACAUGCUGGCUUUUUUAGAAGAUAAGAUCAAGACUUGCUUAUUGAAAUUUUAAUUAAUAUACUAAAAAUAAAAAUUGUAUGGUCAGGGGUCUGGGGAUAUAGCUUAGUUGGUGUAGUACUUGUCUAGUUAUGAGUAAAGCUCGAGGUUGGACCCCAGCACUACAUGACCUCUGUGUGGUGGUGCAUGUCUAUAGCCCAAACGCUCUGAGGUGGAGGCAAGAGAGCCAGAAGUUCAAGGUCAUACUUGACUAUGUAGUUGUUUGUACUCUAUUUCUAAAAGAAAACAGAAAAAAUAUACACUUCAAAAUUUGACCUAGAGAAAUGGCUCAGAGGGUAAAAGCACCUGCCACCAAUCCCGAUAACCUGGUUUUGAUACUAGAACCCAAAUGGUAGGAGAGUACUGAGUCACAAAAGGUUGUCUUCUGAGCCCCACACAGACCUUGCUGUGCAUGCUCCCAACAAUGGAUGGAUGAUGUUUUAAAAAUUCUACAAAUAAUAGCUAUUAUAUUGUUUGUUUGUUUGUUUUGAAACAGGCUUUCC
rnacentral:lncRNA from 1 species